rnacentral:tRNA from 2 species
AAUAAAAUGGCCGAGUUUUAGGCGCUAAACUGUAAAUUUAGAUACAAGAUUUUUCUUUUUUAUUA